rnacentral:rRNA from 1 species
GUGGGGAAUCUUGCGCCAUGGGCGAAAGCCUGACGCAGCCAUGCCGCGUGGAUGAUGAAGGUCUUAGGAUUGUAAAAUCCUUUCACCGGUGAAGAUAAUGACUGUAGCCGGAGAAGAAGCCCCGGCUAACUUCGUGCCAGCAGCCGCGGUAAUACGAAGGGGGCUAGCGUUGCUCGGAAUUACUGGGCGUAAAGGGAGCGUAGGCGGACAUUUAAGUCAGGGGUGAAAUCCCGAGGCUCAACCUCGGAACUGCCUUUGAUACUGGGUGUCUUGAGUGUGAGAGAGGUGAGUGGAACUCCGAGUGUAGAGGUGAAAUUCGUAGAUAUUCGGAAGAACACCAGUGGCGAAGGCGACUCACUGGCUCAUUACUGACGCUGAGGCUCGAAAGCGUGGGGAGCAAACAGGAUUAGAUACCCUGGUAGUCC